UGGUGCUAUAUUGGUGGACUCAUACCAAAAGACAGUUGAUAAUAAAGCAGCAAUUAAAUUUUUAAGCAAUCCUGAAAAAAGCUAUGUUUGAAUAGUUGUGAAAUCAGAAUCUCCAUAUUAUGGAAUGCCAGAAUCUUGAUAUUUUUGAAUGUUAGGACCCAGACAUUUUGGGACGCCAGCAUCCGGAUAUUUUGGGAUGCCAGC
rnacentral:lncRNA from 1 species